rnacentral:rRNA from 1 species
GUUGACCUCGGAUCAGGUAGGAAUACCCGCUGAACUUAAGCAUAUCAAUAAGCGGAGGAAAAGAAACCAACAGGGAUUGCCCUAGUAACGGCGAGUGAAGCGGCAACAGCUCAAAUUUGAAAUCUGGCUUCGGCCCGAGUUGUAAUUUGUAGAGGGAGCUUUUGGCGCGGCACCUACUGAGUCCCCUGGAACGGGGCGCCAGAGAGGGUGAGAGCCCCGUAUAGUGGGAUGCCUAGCCUGUGUAAAGCCCCUUCGACGAGUCGAGUAGUUUGGGAAUGCUGCUCAAAAUGGGAGGUAAAUUUCUUCUAAAGCUAAAUACUGGCCAGAGACCGAUAGCGCACAAGUAGAGUGAUCGAAAGAUGAAAAGCACUUUGAAAAGAGGGUUAAACAGCACGUGAAAUUGUUGAAAGGGAAGCGCUUGUGGCCAGACUUGCGCCCGGCUGAUCAUCCGGUGUUCUCACCGGUGCACUCGGCCGGGCUCAGGCCAGCAUCGGUUCUCGCGGGGGGAUAAAGGCCCAGGGAACGUAGCUCCUCCGGGAGUGUUAUAGCCCUGGGCGCAAUGCCCUCGCGGGGACCGAGGUUCGCGCAUCUGCAAGGAUGCUGGCGUAAUGGCCACCAGCGAC